UCGGGAAUUUUGGGCAAUGGGCGAAAGCCUGACCCAGCAACGCCGCGUGAAGGAUGAAGUAUUUCGGUAUGUAAACUUCGUAAGAAUAGGAAGAAUAAAUGACGGUACUAUUUGUAAGGUCCGGCUAACUACGUGCCAGCAGCCGCGGUAAUACGUAGGGACCAAGCGUUGUUCGGAUUUACUGGGCGUAAAGGGCGCGUAGGCGGUGUGUCAAGUCAGUUGUGAAAUCUCCGAGCUUAACUCGGGACGGUCAACUGAUACUGUCACACUAGAGUACAGAAGGGGCAAUCGGAAUUCCUGGUGUAGAGGUGAAAUUCGUAGAUAUCAGGAAGAACAUCAGUGGCGAAGGCGACCACCUGGACGAUGACUGACGCUGAGGCGCGAAAGCGUGGGUAGCAAACAGGAUUAGAUACCCCCGUAGUCCCUGAGCGGGCUGGCAAGGCGCAU
rnacentral:rRNA from 1 species